CCUACGGGCUGCACCAGUGGGGAAUAUUGCACAAUGGGCGCAAGCCUGAUGCAGCCAUGCCGCGUGUGUGAAGAAGGCCUUCGGGUUGUAAAGCACUUUCAGCGGGGAGGAAGGCGAUAAGGUUAAUAACCUUGUCGAUUGACGUUACCCGCAGAAGAAGCACCGGCUAACUCCGUGCCAGCAGCCGCGGUAAUACGGAGGGUGCAAGCGUUAAUCGGAAUUACUGGGCGUAAAGCGCACGCAGGCGGUCUGUCAAGUCAGAUGUGAAAUCCCCGGGCUCAACCUGGGAACUGCAUUCGAAACUGGCAGGCUAGAGUCUUGUAGAGGGGGGUAGAAUUCCAGGUGUAGCGGUGAAAUGCGUAGAGGUCUGGAGGAAUACCGGUGGCGAAGGCGGCCCCCUGGACAAAGACUGACGCUCAGGUGCGAAAGCGUGGGGAGCAGACAGGAUUAGAUACCCUCGUAGUC
rnacentral:rRNA from 1 species